AUCUUAUUAGUUUAAUUUAAAAUAUAACUCUGAAGAGGUUAAGAAUAAUAGGAUA
rnacentral:tRNA from 1 species